ACCUUUGUGACGAAAUUGGUAGACGUGUCAGUUUUAGAAACUGAUGUUUUUAACAUGUCGGUUCGAGUCCGGCCAAAGGUA